GUGGGAGGGGGCUUGCCCCCGAUAGCGGUGUGUCAGUCGAUACAUUCGGUACUGAUGCACCGUAAUCGGGGGCAAGCCCCCUCCCAC
rnacentral:misc_RNA from 6 species